rnacentral:misc_RNA from 1 species
AACUUUUAGCAAUGGAUCACUUGGUUCUGGCAUCGAUGAAGAACGCAGCGAAACGCGAUAAGUAAUGUGAAUUGCAGAAUUCAGUGAAUCAUCGAAUCUUUGAACGCACAUUGCGCCCGCCAGCAUUCUGGCGGGCAUGCCUGUUCGAGCGUCAUUUCAACCCUCAAGCACUGCUUGGUGUUGGAGCUCGUACGGCCUCGCGGCCGUACGCUCCGAAAAUUAGUGGCGGACUCUCCGAGACUCCGGGCGCAGUAGAGAUGCGACGCCCUGGAAGCUAGGUGAGCUCUGGCCGUUAAACUCCAUAUUUUACAAGGUUGACCUCGGAUCAGGUAGGAAUACCCGCUGAACUUAAGCAUAUCAAUAAGCGGAGGCU